rnacentral:rRNA from 1 species
UACGUAGGGUGCAAGCGUUGUCCGGAAUUAUUGGGCGUAAAGAGCGUGUAGGCGGCCCGAUUAGUCCGCUGUGAAAGUCCAGGGCUCAACCCUGAAAUGCCGGUGGAUACUGUCGGGCUAGAGUCCGGAAGGGGCGAGUGGAAUUCCUGGUGUAGCGGUGAAAUGCGCAGAUAUCAGGAGGAACACCAAUGGCGAAGGCAGCUCGCUGGGACGUGACUGACGCUGAGACGCGAAAGCGUGGGGAGCAAACAGG